UACGUAGGUGGCAAGCGUUGUCCGGAAUUAUUGGGCGUAAAGCGCGCGCAGGCGGCCUUUUAAGUCUGAUGUGAAAGCCCACGGCUCAACCGUGGAAGGUCAUUGGAAACUGGAAGGCUUGAGUACAGAAGAGGAAAGCGGAAUUCCACGUGUAGCGGUGAAAUGCGUAGAGAUGUGGAGGAACACCAGUGGCGAAGGCGACUACCUGGCCUGUUCUUGACGCUGAGGCGCGAAAGCUAGGGGAGCAAACGGG
rnacentral:rRNA from 1 species